AUGUUGAAUGAUGAAAUAAAUCAGACGGAUUCCCACUGAUUAUUCGGUGAUUACACAACCAGCUACUUCUGACACAU